GGGCCCGUAGCUCAGUAAGGACAGAGCACCGGACUUUUAAUCCGGGGGUCACGGGUUCAAUUCCCGUCGGGCCCGCCA
rnacentral:tRNA from 1 species